AACGAACGCUGGCGGCAUGCCUAACACAUGCAAGUCGAACGAGACCUUCGGGUCUAGUGGCGCACGGGUGCGUAACGCGUGGGAACCUGCCCUUAGGUUCGGAAUAACUCCCCGAAAGGGGUGCUAAUACCGGAUAAGUUCUUCGGACCAAAGAUUUAUCGCCUUUGGAUGGGCCCGCGUUGGAUUAGCUAGUUGGUAGGGUAAAAGCCGACCAAGGCGACGAUACAUAGCUGGUUUGAGAGGAUGAUCAGCCACACUGGGACUGAGACACGGCCCAGACUCCUACGGGAGGCAGCAGUGGGGAAUAUUGGACAAUGGGCGAAAGCCUGAUCCAGCAAUGCCGCGUGAGUGAUGAAGGCCUUAGGGUUGUAAAGCUCUUUUACCCGGGAUGAUAAUGACAGUACCGGGAGAAUAAGCUCCGGCUAACUCCGUG
rnacentral:rRNA from 1 species